UACGUAGGGGGCAAGCGUUGUCCGGAUUUAUUGGGCGUAAAGAGCGUGUAGGUGGCUAUACAGGUCCGCUGUGAAAACUCGAGGCUCAACCUCGAGACGUCGGUGGAAACCGUAUGGCUAGAGUCCGGAAGAGGAGAGUGGAAUUCCUGGUGUAGCGGUGAAAUGCGCAGAUAUCAGGAAGAACACCCGUGGCGAAGGCGGCUCUCUGGGACGGUACUGACGCUGAGACGCGAAAGCGUGGGGAGCGAACAGG
rnacentral:rRNA from 1 species